rnacentral:rRNA from 1 species
UACGGGGGGGGCAAGCGUUGUUCGGAAUUACUGGGCGUAAAGGGCUCGUAGGCGGCCAACUAAGUCAGACGUGAAAUCCCUCAGCUUAACUGGGGAACUGCGUCUGAGACUGGUGAGCUUGAGUGCAGGAGAGGAACGCGGAAUUCCAGGUGUAGCGGUGAAAUGCGUAGAUAUCUGGAGGAACACCGGUGGCGAAGGCGGCGUUCUGGACUGCAACUGACACUGAUGAACGAAAGCCAGGGGAGCAAACGGG